GACGAACGCUGGCGGCGCGCCUAACACAUGCAAGUCGAACGGAGUCAAGAGGAGCUUGCUUUUCUUGACUUAGUGGCGAACGGGUGAGUAACGCGUGAGUAACCUGCCCUGGAGUGGGGGACAACAGUUGGAAACGACUGCUAAUACCGCAUAAGCCCACGGAUCUGCAUGGAUCUGCGGGAAAAGGAUUUAUUCGCUCUAGGAUGGACUCGCGUCCAAUUAGCUAGUUGGUGAGGUAACGGCCCACCAAGGCGACGAUUGGUAGCCGGACUGAGAGGUUGAACGGCCACAUUGGGACUGAGACACGGCCCAGACUCCUACGGGAGGCAGCAGUGGGGGAUAUUGCACAAUGGGGGAAACCCUGAUGCAGCGACGCCGCGUGGUGGAAGAAGGUUUUCGGAUUGUAAACUCCUGUCGUUAGGGACGAUAAUGACGGUACCUAACAAGAAAGCACCAGCUAACUACGUG
rnacentral:rRNA from 1 species